rnacentral:rRNA from 1 species
GCCGAACGCUGGCGGCGUGCCUAAUACAUGCCAGUAGAACGCAGUUGCGAACGGGUGAGUAACGCGUAGGUAACUUCCUCAUAGAGGGGGAUAACUAUUGGAAACGAUAGCUAAUACCGCAUACUGUGAGAUGGACCUGCGUUGUAUUAGCUAGUUGGUGAGGUAAAGGCUCAACAAGGCGACGAUACAUAGCCGACCUGAGAGGUGUCUGCGCCAAACGGUGACUGAGACACGGCCCAGGUUCCUUCGGGAGGCAGCCGUAGGGAAUCUUCGGCAAUGGACGGAAGUCUUACCAAGCAAGGCCGCGUUAGGUAAGAAGGUUUUCGGACCGUAAAUCUCUGUUGUGAGAGGAGCGGUAACGAACCAGAAAGUGACGGCUAACUACGUGCCAGCAGCCGCGGUAAUUC